rnacentral:rRNA from 1 species
UACGGGGGGAGCAAGCGUUGUUCGGAUUUACUGGGCGUAAAGGGCGCGUAGGCGGCCACCGCAAGUCGACUGUGAAAUCUCCGGGCUUAACCCGGAAAGGUCAGCCGAUACUGCGGGGCUAGAGUGCAGAAGGGGCAACUGGAAUUCUCGGUGUAGCGGUGAAAUGCUUAGAUAUGACACAGAACACCGAUCGCGAAGGCAGCUAACGAAGCUAGUAUUGACGCUCAGGCACGACAGCAUGGGGAGCAAACAGG